GUACAUGUCAAGUGUGCCUCAGAGUCUUACCCCACCCACGUAUCAAUUUUGAAAACUGCAACAUUAGUAGGCGUUGCCUGGAGGACCGAGAGGGCGGAGCCGCGGCAGUGACGAAGAGACGGCUAACUAGACGAAGCUAGCUCCCUUCACUCUGAGCAGUCAUUAGAAGUGGAGGACGUUUCUCCCCCUCCUUACCCAGACACUCGAGAAGAAAGGGACCAAGUCUAUUUGGAGGAGACAACCGGACAUGAGCCUUAUUGUUUUGAGCUUGUGAGUUGCCUGAAAUUACUGGAACCGACCCAACAGACCCAUCUCUGAACGUGAUCCUCUGGUGUCUGCAGCUGGUCUCCUGCUGAUGUCGUCGGGAUCAGGAACUUCCAGAAGAAUGUGCCUUUCAAUGACUCUUUCCCCCUUAUUUGUUAUAUUAAUUAAAUAAAUCUCAAUUUAUA